UACUAAAGCUCUCGAAGCAACUAAUGGAACAACUCUUGAGAAGAAUGGGCAGAUUUUAAGAGUUGCAUAUGCAAAAAGCAUUCUUGGUCCAGGAUCUGGGGCAUCGGGACCUUCACAAUCAAGCAGCCUUGCGGCUGCCGCAAUUGAGGCGGCAGCAUUUGCUCAACAGUACGAUGUUGUUGGAUGGGCACCAAAGGAGUAUAACCCAGAUGAUAAAUCUACAAGUGGGCAGGAACAAGAUGGUGGGGAGGCUGCUGUUCAAAAGGAUGGUUCCACUACACAGUCUGGCUUUGUAUGGGAUGAAGCAUCUGGUUAUUACUAUGAUGCUGCUUCUGGGUUCUACUAUGAUGGAAAUACAGG
rnacentral:misc_RNA from 1 species